AUGAAUUGGACUCCUCCUAUGUCGGCGUUGAUGUUGAAAGGCCUUUCAGAGGUGGCGGCAAGAGGUGCCAAGACUGACAAAGGAUUCAAAGAGGUUGAAAAAUUGAAAGUUGCAAAGCGUAUAUCUUCUUUCGUUGGUUAUGAUGUGUCUAUUACGCAAGUGAACAAUCAUAUUCGCAAGUGGAGGAAUAGGUGGACAAGGCUUGUCUAUUUGAAGGCUUUAAGUGGGGCACUUUGGGAUGAUGACAAGAAGAUGGUAGUGCUAGAAGAACAACACUAUUUGGGCCACACUCAGGAUCAUCCAGCAGAUGCUGAAUUGCUCAAUUCUCCACUGGAGAACUACGACUAUAUGGAACUUUGCUUUGCUAAUAAGCAUACUACUGGGAAAUAUGUAAUGGGCCCCGGUGUGCCCCUAGGAAUGCGUAUUGUUGUGGAAGACAAGUAUAAACCGAAUGUCAUGGAGGGGGAAGGAACAACGAAUGAGGUAUUGCAACAUCUUCCUAGAUCUAACUUUGUACUUCCUACUGCUAGUGCAACUCAGGACCCUUCUCCUACUUCAAAUAAGAAGAGAAAGAGGGCAUCUGGCUUGACAGAGGAGGACUCAAUCCAGUGUAGCAACAUGACUGAUGCUAUGCGUGAGAUUGCAAGUGCUAUCAACAACACUUGCCAUGCUGAAACACACCCUAACUUGUACAAGGCUGUCAUGGACCUUCUUGUGUUUAAUCAAGAUGAGCGCUUGGCUAUUUUAGAUUAUCUCACAGAACAUAAGGCAAAAGGCCUUAACUUUGUGAAGAUGGAUGAUGAAGUACGAAAAGCAUCGUUCAAGCGAAUCUUGAAAGCCAAUCCUGAUCUUCUUUGA
rnacentral:rRNA from 1 species